rnacentral:rRNA from 1 species
GCUGGCGGCAGGCCUAACACAUGCAAGUCGAGCGGUAACAGAAAGAAAGCUUGCUUUCUUUGCUGACGAGCGGCGGACGGGUGAGUAAUGCCUGGGAAUAUGCCUUAGUGUGGGGGAUAACUAUUGGAAACGAUAGCUAAUACCGCAUAACGUCUUCGGACCAAAGAGGGGGACCUUCGGGCCUCUCGCGCUAAGAUUAGCCCAGGUGGGAUUAGCUAGUUGGUGAGGUAAAGGCUCACCAAGGCAACGAUCCCUAGCUGGUCUGAGAGGAUGAUCAGCCACACUGGAACUGAGACACGGUCCAGACUCCUACGGGAGGCAGCAGUGGGGAAUAUUGCACAAUCGGGGGAAACCCUGAUGCAGCCAUGCCGCGCGUAUGAAGAAGGCCUUCGGGUUGUAAAGUACUUUCAGUCGUGAGGAAGGCAUUGUAGUUAAUAGCUGCAGUGCUUGACGUUAGCGACAGAAGAAGCACCGGCUAACUCCGUG